UAGGGAAUCUUCCGCAAUGGACGCAAGUCUGACGGAGCAACGCCGCGUGAGUGAAGAAGGAUUUCGGUUCGUAAAACUCUGUUGUUAGAGAAGAACAGCGCAUAGAGUAACUGUUAUGCGUGUGACGGUAUCUAACCAGAAAGCCACGGCUAACUACGUGCCAGCAGCCGCGGUAAUACGUAGGUGGCAAGCGUUGUCCGGAUUUAUUGGGCGUAAAGCGAGCGCAGGCGGUCAAUUAAGUCUGAUGUGAAAGCCCCCGGCUCAACCGGGGAGGGUCAUUGGAAACUGGUUGACUUGAGUGCAGAAGAAGAGGGUGGAAUUCCAUGUGUAGCGAUGAAAUGCGUGGAUAUAUGGAGGAACACCAGUGGCGAAGGCGACUCUCUGGUCUGUAACUGACGCUGAGGUUCGAAAGCGUGGGUAGCAAACAGG
rnacentral:rRNA from 1 species